GGUCGAUUAGCUUAGUCGGUAGAGCGUGGUACUAAUACAUCAGCAGCAGUCGUGUUCGCCAUGUGAGAUGCCAAGGUCAUGGGUUCGACCCCCAUAUUGACCA
rnacentral:tRNA from 1 species